CGGGUGAGUAAUGCUUGGGAAUCUAGCUUAUGGAGGGGGAUAACUACGGGAAACUGUAGCUAAUACCGCGUAGAUCGGAGAUGAAAGUGUGGGACCUUCGGGCCACAUGCCAUAGGAUGAGCCCAAGUGGGAUUAGGUAGUUGGUGAGGUAAAGGCUCACCAAGCCGACGAUCUCUAGCUGGUCUGAGAGGAUGACCAGCCACACUGGGACUGAGACACGGCCCAG
rnacentral:rRNA from 1 species